rnacentral:rRNA from 1 species
GUCUUGAAACACGGACCAAGGAGUCUAGCAUGUGCGCGAGUCAUUGGGAACAACUAAACCUAAAGGCGCAAUGAAAGUGAAGGUCCGCCUUGCGCGGACCGAGGGAAGAUGGGCGGUGUCCCCAACAAGCGCGCCGUUCCGCACUCCCGGGGCGUCUCGUUCUCAUUGCGAGAAGAGGCGCACCAAGAGCGUACACGCUGGGACCCGAAAGAUGGUGAACUAUGCCUGGUCAGGACGAAGUCAGGGGAAACCCUGAUGGAGGUCCGUAGCGAUUCUGACGUGCAAAUCGAUCGUCGGAACUGGGUAUAGGGGCGAAAGACUAAUCGAACCAUCUAGUAGCUGGUUCCCUCCGAAGUUUCCCUCAGGAUAGCUGGCGCUCGUCGCCUACGAGUCUCAUCCGGUAAAGCGAAUGAUUAGAGGCAUUGGGGUCGAAACGGCCUCAACCUAUUCUCAAACUUUAAAUGGGUGAGAUCUCCGGCUUGCUCGAACUACUGAAGCCGCGAGACACGAAUCAGAGUGCCAAGUGGGCCAUUUUUGGUAAGCAGAACUGGCGCUGUGGGAUGAACCAAACGCCGAGUUAAAGCGCCUAAAUCGACGCUUAUGGGAUACCAUGAAAGGCGUUGGUAACUUAAGACAGCAGGACGGUGGCCAUGGAAGUCGGAAUCCGCUAAGGAAUGUGUA